GACUGCAUAGCUCAGUUGGCAGAGCAUUGGGCUAGUAUUCCAAAGGUCGUAGGUUCGAAUCCCACCGUGGCCA